rnacentral:rRNA from 1 species
GAUGAACGCUGGCGGCGUGCCUAAUACAUGCAAGUCGAGCGAACGGACGAGAAGCUUGCUUCUCUGAUGUUAGCGGCGGAUGGGUGAGUAACACGUGGAUAACCUACCUAUAAGACUGGGAUAACUUCGGGAAACCGGAGCUAAUACCGGAUAAUAUUUUGAACCGCAUGGUUCAAAAGUAAAAGACGGUCUUGCUGUCACUUAUAGAUGGAUCCGCGCUGCAUUAGCUAGUUGGUAAGGUAACGGCUUACCAAGGCAACGAUGCAUAGCCGACCUGAGAGGGUGAUCGGCCACACUGGAACUGAGACACGGUCCAGACUCCUACGGGAGGCAGCAGUAGGGAAUCUUCCGCAAUGGGCGAAAGCCUGACGGAGCAACGCCGCGUGAGUGAUGAAGGUCUUCGGAUCGUAAAACUCUGUUAUUAGGGAAGAACAUAUGUGUAAGUAACUGUGCACAUCUUGACGGUACCUAAUCAGAAAGCCACGGCUAACUACGUGCCAGCAGCCGCGGUAAUACGUAGGUGGCAAGCGUUAUCCGGAAUUAUUGGGCGUAAAGCGCGCGUAGGCGGUUUUUUAGUCUGAUGUGAAAGCCCACGGCUCAACCGUGGAGGGUCAUUGGAAACUGGAAAACUUGAGUGCAGAAGAGGAAAGUGGAAUUCCAUGUGUAGCGGUGAAAUGCGCAGAGAUAUGGAGGAACACCAGUGGCGAAGGCGACUUUCUGGUCUGUAACUGACGCUGAUGUGCGAAAGCGUGGGGAUCAAACAGGAUUAGAUACCCUGGUAGUCCACGCCGUAAACGAUGAGUGCUAAGUGUUAGGGGGUUUCCGCCCCUUAGUGCUGCAGCUAACGCAUUAAGCACUCCGCCUGGGGAGUACGACCGCAAGGUUGAAACUCAAAGGAAUUGACGGGGACCCGCACAAGCGGUGGAGCAUGUGGUUUAAUUCGAAGCAACGCGAAGAACCUUACCAAAUCUUGACAUCCUUUGACAACUCUAGAGAUAGAGCCUUCCCCUUCGGGGGACAAAGUGACAGGUGGUGCAUGGUUGUCGUCAGCUCGUGUCGUGAGAUGUUGGGUUAAGUCCCGCAACGAGCGCAACCCUUAAGCUUAGUUGCCAUCAUUAAGUUGGGCACUCUAAGUUGACUGCCGGUGACAAACCGGAGGAAGGUGGGGAUGACGUCAAAUCAUCAUGCCCCUUAUGAUUUGGGCUACACACGUGCUACAAUGGACAAUACAAAGGGCAGCGAAACCGCGAGGUCAAGCAAAUCCCAUAAAGUUGUUCUCAGUUCGGAUUGUAGUCUGCAACUCGACUACAUGAAGCUGGAAUCGCUAGUAAUCGUAGAUCAGCAUGCUACGGUGAAUACGUUCCCGGGUCU